CCUACGGGGGGCAGCAGUAGGGAAUUUUGCGCAAUGGGCGAAAGCCUGACGCAGCAACGCCGCGUGAUCGAGACGCCCUUCGGGGUGUUAAGAUCUGUCCGUGGGGGCGAAACUUGACGGUACCCACAGAGGAAGCACCGGCUAACUCCGUGCCAGCAGCCGCGGUAAUACGGGGGGUGCAAGCGUUGUCCGGAUUCAUUGGGCGUAAAGGGUUCGUAGGCGGCACGUAAAGUCUGGUGUUAAAGGCAGAGGCUCAACUUCUGUACGGCACUGGAUACUUGCGAGCUAGAAUGCGGUAGAGGUAAAGGGAAUUCCUGGUGUAGCGGUGAAAUGCGUAGAUAUCAGGAGGAACAUCAGUGGCGUAAGCGCUUUACUGGGCCGUAAUUGACGCUGAGGAACGAAAGCCAGGGGAGCAAAUGGGAUUAGAUACCCGGGUAGUC
rnacentral:rRNA from 1 species